rnacentral:lncRNA from 1 species
CACAAGCUCUCAACUUUCCAUUUUUCUUGACAACGGGUACAAUGUUUGAAACCCACUUCGCAUAACGGCAAGGUCUGAUAAACUUAGCUUCAUACAAUCGGGUGAUUUCAACCUUGAUAUCUUCUAACAACUCUACCUUGAAUCUUCUUGCCGACUGCUUGAACGGCAGAUAACCCGGUUCGAUAGGUAGCCGAUGUUCCACAAUGGUAUGGCUCAAUCCUGGCAUCUCAUAAUAUUCCCACGCAAAAAAAUCUCGAUAUUCCUUUAACAAUGCUAUCAAUUUUUACUUGAACUCAGGAGGCAGC